UACAGAGGUCCCAAGCGUUGUUCGGAUUCACUGGGCGUAAAGGGUGCGUAGGCGGUCGGGUAAGUCUGAUGUGAAAUCUCACAGCUUAACUGUGAAACUGCAUUGGAUACUAUCCGGCUCGAGGAAUGGAGGGGAGACUGGAAUACUUGGUGUAGCAGUGAAAUGCGUAGAUAUCAAGUGGAACACCAGUGGCGAAGGCGGCUCACUGGUCCGGUACUGACGCUGAGGUGCGAAAGCGUGGGGAGCAAACAGG
rnacentral:rRNA from 1 species